rnacentral:rRNA from 1 species
UAGGGAAUCUUCCGCAAUGGACGCAAGUCUGACGGAGCAACGCCGCGUGAGUGAAGAAGGAUUUCGGUUCGUAAAACUCUGUUGUUAGAGAAGAACAGCGCAUAGAGUAACUGUUAUGCGUGUGACGGUAUCUAACCAGAAAGGGACUGCUAACUACGUGCCAGCAGCCGCGGUAGUACGUAGGUCCCGAGCGUUGUCCGGAUUUAUUGGGCGUAAAGCGAGCGCAGGCGGUUAGAAAAGUCUGAAGUGAAAGGCAGUGGCUCAACCAUUGUAGGCUUUGGAAACUGUUUAACUUGAGUGCAGAAGGGGAGAGUGGAAUUCCAUGUGUAGCGGUGAAAUGCGUAGAUAUAUGGAGGAACACCGGUGGCGAAAGCGGCUCUCUGGUCUGUAACUGACGCUGAGGCUCGAAAGCGUGGGGAGCGAACAGG